rnacentral:rRNA from 1 species
CCUACGGGGGCAGCAGUGGGGAAUAUUGGACAAUGGGCGAAAGCCUGAUCCAGCCAUGCCGCGUGUGUGAAGAAGGCCUUCGGGUUGUAAAGCACUUUCAGUGGGGAAGAAAGCCUUGGGGCUAAUACCCUCGAGGAAGGACAUCACCCACAGAAGAAGCACCGGCUAACUCCGUGCCAGCAGCCGCGGUAAUACGGAGGGUGCGAGCGUUAAUCGGAAUUACUGGGCGUAAAGCGCGCGUAGGCGGUCUGAUAAGCCGGUUGUGAAAGCCCCGGGCUCAACCUGGGAACGGCAUCCGGAACUGUCAGGCUAGAGUGCAGGAGAGGAAGGUAGAAUUCCCGGUGUAGCGGUGAAAUGCGUAGAGAUCGGGAGGAAUACCAGUGGCGAAGGCGGCCUUCUGGACUGACACUGACGCUGAGGUGCGAAAGCGUGGGUAGCAAACAGGAUUAGUACCCCAGUAGUC